rnacentral:rRNA from 1 species
ACGUAGGGUGCAAGCGUUAAUCGGAAUUACUGGGCGUAAAGCGUGCGCAGGCGGUUGUGCAAGACCGGUGUGAAAUCCCAGGGCUUAACCUUGGAACUGCAUUGGUGACUGCACAGCUAGAGUACGGCAGAGGGGGAUGGAAUUCCGCGUGUAGCAGUGAAAUGCGUAGAGAUGCGGAGGAACACCGAUGGCGAAGGCAGUCCCCUGGGCCUGUACUGACGCUCAUGCACGAAAGCGUGGGGAGCAAACAGGAUUAGAUACCCUGGUAGUCCACGCCCUAAACGAUGUCAACUGGUUGUUGGGUGGGUUUCUACUCAGUAACGAAGCUAACGCGUGAAGUUGACCGCCUGGGGAGUACGGCCGCAAGGUUG